AUUGAACGCUGGCGGCAGGCCUAACACAUGCACGUCGAACGAGUGGCGGACGGGUGAGUAAUGUCUGGGAAACUGCCUUAUGGAGGGGGAUAAAUACUGGAAACGGUAGCUAAAACCGCAUACCAUCAGAUAUGCCCAGCUGGGAUUCGCUAGUUGGUGGGGUAACGGCUCACCAAGGCGACGAUCCCUAGCUGGUCUUAGCGGAUGACCAGCCACACUGGAACUGAGACACGGUCCAGACGCCUACGGGAGGCAGGAGUGGGGAAGAUUGCACAAUGGGCGCAAGCCUGAUGCAGCCAUGCCGCGUGUAUGAAGAAGGCCUUCGGGUUGUAAAGUACUUUCAGCGGGGAGGCGUUACCCGCAGAAGAAGCACCGGCUAACUCCGUGCCAGCAGCCGCGGUAAUUC
rnacentral:rRNA from 1 species